rnacentral:rRNA from 1 species
AGAGGGUGCAAGCGUUAAUCGGAAUUACUGGGCGUAAAGCGUGCGUAGACGGUUAUGUAAGUCGGGUGUGAAAGCCCCGGGCUCAACCUGGGAAUUGCAUUCGAGACUGUGUAGCUAGGGUACGGAAGAGGGAAGCGGAAUUUCAGGUGUAGCGGUGAAAUGCGUAGAUAUCUGAAGGAACACCAGUGGCGAAAGCGGCUUCCUGGUCCAGUACCGACGUUCAGGCACGAAAGCGUGGGGAGCAAACAGGAUUAGAUACCCUGGUAGUCCACGCCAUAAACGAUGAGAACUAGACGUUGAGAGGGUAAGCCUCCCAGUGUCGUAGCUAACGCGCUAAGUUCUCCGCCUGGGGAGUACGGCCGCAUUUUG